rnacentral:lncRNA from 1 species
UGAGUUGCUUCCAGAAAAGGAUGUUAUGGCCGUGCUGCUCGACUUGGCGGCGGCACUGCCGUGCCUCCAGAUAAGAAUACUGUGUAUUCAAAUAUUUGUAGAAAAGUCUAGUCACAUUGUCAAAAUAUUUUAGAAUGGUUUAUCUUUUUUUUAUAAAAAUAGAAUUUAUGAAAGUUUAGUUUCAUAAUGUAUUACUCAUCAGCAGUUUUCACACACAAACGUGGAUUCUUUCCACAUCUAUUCUUAUAUUACGAAUACACUGAAUUUGAAUUACAUCAAAGUUAUAACUUGGUUAGAUUCCCACAAAUUAUAAAACAAAAUUCAUACACUGUAACCAUUCUCAUUGUUUUCAACGCGUUUAUCUUCGUCAGAACACACACCUAUUGUAAGUAAUUUUACUGACUGGUUCGAUAUUUCUUUGAUGGACACUUCUGACUAAUUUCUAAUAAUUGAAUGACGAAACUAUAGUGAUAUAAAUAACUUUUAAUAAGUAAUACAGAAUCAUAAUGUAUUUUAAACUAGAUAAGGUUGCGUUUUUAAUAGAAUUUCGAUAGUUGAGAAAUAGCUUUUUACGGUAGUUUUUUCCAUUUCUAUGGGUUUAACAUAUGCAUAAAAAUUUUUAUCAGCUUUGAAAAACCCUUCAAAAAUAAUUUUCGCUUAUUUGGCAGAGAAAUUGGGCUUCACAGAAGAAUCGGUUGUUAAAAAAGAUCGCUGUAAAAACAAAUUCGUACUGAAAAAAUUUCUAUCAUAAUCACAAAUACAAAUAUAUGUUGCUUAUUUAAAACCAGAGCACAUUUCGAAAAAAUAAUCGCCUAUAUAAAAAUCUCUUAAAUAUUUAAUCGUAAUUAUUACAGAAAGAUCUCAGGAAAUUUAAACAGUCG